CUUUGGAUCAUUUGAGAAUUAUUUGGUUCUAUAAAAUUAUUGCAGAUGGAAGUGUUUGAAAUGAGAGGUUAUGCUGCAAUUGCAGAGAAAUAUUGUUGACAUAGUACAGGAUUUAUUUCUCUUUGGGAAAAUAAAAUUACUUUCAUAUUGCUUUCUUCAUCCACCCUCUGAUAUUUUCUAAUUCAGGUCUGCAUUCACAAUUACAGAUUAACAUGAAUCCUAGCACAAUUCCUAAUUGCCUUUUCCACAGUCAAAAUUUCCUAAAUCACCUUGUCUAGUGAAUCCCACUAAUCACCCUUAAAAACACAAUGAAUGUGCAAUCAGGUCCACGUCUUGUGUAGAUAUACUUUCAACACAAUACAUAUUUACAGUAGAUUGACAUUUCGGCGGAUCUAAAAUUGUGCCACCGUCCUCAGGACCGUGUCUUGUGUGGAUACCCUGGAAAGCAACCAACAAUGUGUGUGAAACUAUUGUGUUGGUAACAUUCUUAAAUACUAGAAAGACUGAAAUGGACAAUGAGUCAGAGGGUCUAUCUCUUUGCCACCUAAUCACAAUUGUACUAACCUUGCUAUGCUCAGACGUCUUCCUGUGCUUCACUUGUCUUGUUCACAGUUUUUGCUUCUAGUCUCUUUUCUAUCACCUAUUAAAUAUUAUCAUAAUUUCAGAGGGGUGGGUAUUUUCAAAUUGUGGUAUCAGUUAGGCUAUUCUAUCAGCUGCACUCCCAUACUUCAGAAAAAUGAUGUCUUUUUGCACCAGGUGCACAAACCUCAUGUCUCAAAAACACAGUUCAUAUUUUCUGUGUGCUAGUUUCUGCUGUUUUUUAAUGCUCUCAAGGAUGUGUAAAACUUUGUGGUUUUCUUCAGAUUUUGGUUAUAACAAAACACGUAUUUUAGAGUUGUGUAAUGCAGGUCCAAGGAUGCUUCUUCCACGUGCACAUAGAUAAAACUGCUUGAAUAGAAAACACAGCAUAAUCCAAAAGCUGGCAAUGUAAAGAAACAUAGUUAUAACAAUCAAGAGAAAUGUGUACUCUUCUAGUAAGUAUGUAAGCUUUUUGUGCUCUGUUUGAUGGUCUAUCUAAAACAGAUCAUAUUCAACACGUUUAUGAAGGCUGGACACAUUAUGUAAAUACAAAUGCAAGUAUAAUGAGGGAUGAUUGCCACUUUAAAUGUGUGGAUCCAUUUUGUAUUAAUUAUGUUAUUUAUUUAUGUAAAUAUUUGUAUUUUAUUCAAAAUGUUUUUGAUUCACUUUUCAUCUCUGUAUACAAGUUUGUUAUGGAUUGUAGUGCUUGCCGUCCCCCAAAGGGCCUGUGUAAACAUUACAUUUGUUGAACUUCACCUUGCUUAAUGAAUUGCAUUAUUAAUAAUUACACAUCUCUUUAACAAGAUUUUUCAAUGAAAUUAACAGUUUUUUAUUACAGCAACAAAACCAUCAUAUCCAUUUAAAAAGGUUUUCACAGAAUUUCACUGUAGAAAACAACUUAAACCAUAAUGAAACUUUCACAGUCUCUGUACACUAACACUUUUCCUAAUAACUACUAUAUAGUUGGCAAUCUUAUGUUCUGCCUUACAUUACUUAUUGAGUCAGUGAACAGUCUUACAUAUUUACAGACAUAUAUCAGGGCAGGUGAUGUUAAGGGUACACAAAUGGACAGGUGAGUUUACUAUCACCUUUUGGACCAGGCUAAUGGUUUAUUGCAUACAAACGAAUAUACAUCACAAAUGUGUAAACAUAUUAUUAUAUAUAUAUCUUGUAAUUUCAUUAACAAACAAAUGAUUUAAAAUUAUAAUAGCAUGUUGGGAUUGUACCAUAAAUGGGAGGUCAUUUUGAAACAAUUGACUUUAAAACCUUGCAGGUAUUUGGGUUGAGCAUUUCUAACCAGAGGCAAGCUAUUUUCUCUAAAUUUUAGUAAGUGAUCCUCUUGUUAAUUAGCCGACAACGAUAGUAUAGAUUAUUUAUGAUCAUGGAUGUAUGUUUAUUAAAUACAGAUUGUGUUUUAAAAACAUAAUUAAAAAGACAUUGCAGUUUCUGUUUUCUAAACAAUUUUUGAAAACAGUUCAUGACAUUAUAUACAAUAUUGUAUUGGAUAUUUAUUUAAGGUAGCCAAAUGUUGCAUCCUCUAAUUAGUGAUGCGCAUGAAUGGAUGAACGUGAUUCCCACUGUCCCUACCUACUAUCUAGCGAAACCACAGCCAAGGGAACAGGCUUUGCAGAACCAGCGGGGAAAGAAGACCCAACAGAGCUUGACUCUAGUCUGGCACUAUGAGAGAGAUGUAGGAUAAGUAGGAGGCCCUCAGGUUGCUGGUAAAAUACCACUACUCUUAUCGUGUUUUCACUUACCAGUGAGGCGGGGGGCGAGCCCCAUGGGUCUCUCGCUUCUUGCUCCAGGCACCCUGCGCCCACCAGGCGCAACCCGCUCCAGGGACAGUGGCAGGUGGGGAGUUUAACUGGGGUGGUACACCUGUCAAACUAUAAAGCAGAUGUCCUAAGGCGAGCUCAGGUAGUAACAAAAUCUCCCGUGGAGCAGAAGGGCAAAAGCUUGCUUGAUCUCGAUUUUCAGUAUGAAUACAGACCGUGAAAGCAGGGCCUCACAAUCUUUCUGACUUUUUGGGUUUGAAGCAGGAGGUGUCAGAAAAGUUACCAUAGGGAUAACUGGCUUGUGGCAGGCAAGCGGUCAUAGCAACAUCGCUUUUUGAUCCUUCGAUGUCGACUCUUCCUAUCAUUGUGAAGCAGAAUUCCCAAAGCAUUGGAUUGUUCACCCACUAAUAGGGAACGUGAGCUGGGUUUAGACCGUCAUGAGACAGGUUAGUUUUACUAUACUGAUGAUUUGUUAUUGCAAUAGUAAUUCUGCUCAGUAUGAGAGUAACAGCAAUUUCAGACAUUUGGUGUAUGUGCUCAGCUGAGGAGCCAAUGGGGCAAAGCUACCAUCUGUGGGAUUAUGACUUAAAGCCUCAAAGUCAGAAUCCCCCCUAAACCGUAACGAUACCACAGCACUGUGGAGACUUGGCUAGCCUAGGAUAGCCGGCCUUUGGGCCGGUGCAUAGAGCUGCUCACCUCGGGACUCGAGCGUGGACAAAAGGGGGCUAACUCUCUUGCCCAUAGU
rnacentral:rRNA from 1 species